GUAACAAGGUUUCCGUAGGUGAACCUGCGGAAGGAUCAUUACCGAGUGAGGGCCCUUUGGGUCCAACCUCCCACCCGUGUUUAUUUACCUCGUUGCUUCGGCGGGCCCGCCUUAACUGGCCGCCGGGGGGCUCACGCCCCCGGGCCCGCGCCCGCCGAAGACACCCCCGAACUCUGCCUGAAGAUUGUCGUCUGAGUGAAAAUAUAAAUUAUUUAAAACUUUCAACAACGGAUCUCUUGGUUCCGGCAUCGAUGAAGAACGCAGCGAAAUGCGAUACGUAAUGUGAAUUGCAAAUUCAGUGAAUCAUCGAGUCUUUGAACGCACAUUGCGCCCCCUGGUAUUCCGGGGGGCAUGCCUGUCCGAGCGUCAUUGCUGCCCUCAAGCCCGGCUUGUGUGUUGGGCCCCGUCCUCCGAUUCCGGGGGACGGGCCCGAAAGGCAGCGGCGGCACCGCGUCCGGUCCUCGAGCGUAUGGGGCUUUGUCACCCGCUCUGUAGGCCCGGCCGGCGCUUGCCGAUCAACCCAAAUUUUUAUCCAGGUUGACCUCGGAUCAGGUA
rnacentral:rRNA from 1 species